UCUAGUGCAUGUUCGCCAAUGCAACACAAACAAACAAGUUAAUUUCCUUGUAAGAGUAAACCUCUUUGUUUUCUUUUUUUUGAAAGUAAAUUUAUCAAAUUAUAUGCAUAUAUUUUUAUCAUCUUUUUUAAAUGAAUAUAUUUAAGUACAUUUUGACGGCUACGGAAGACGAAAUCAGGCAACCAAUAAGAGAGUGUUUGGAAAAAACAUGGCGGUCAAGAUCGAAAUGUAAACAAAGCGAUUCAUUUAGGCACUCGGCUAUCAUAAUAAAAACGUUAAACAAUAUUUUGAUAAAUUUAAAGCAUACAAGGAAGAAAUUUAUCUUAAAGGUUCAGAUUUUAAAUAUAAUUAGGACUAC
rnacentral:lncRNA from 1 species